GAUGAACGCUGGCGGCGUGCCUAAUACAUGCAAGUCGAGCGAACAGACGAGGAGCUUGCUCCUCUGACGUUAGCGGCGGACGGGUGAGUAACACGUGGAUAACCUACCUAUAAGACUGGGAUAACUUCGGGAAACCGGAGCUAAUACCGGAUAACAUGUUGAACCGCAUGGUUCAACAGUGAAAGACGGUCUUGCUGUCACUUAUAGAUGGAUCCGCGCCGCAUUAGCUAGUUGGUAAGGUAACGGCUUACCAAGGCAACGAUGCGUAGCCGACCUGAGAGGGGGAUCGGCCACACUGAACUGAGACACGGUCCAGACUCCUACGGGAGGCAGCAGUAGGGAAUCUUCCGCAAUGGGCGAAAGCCUGACGGAGCAACGCCGCGUGAGUGAAGAAGGUCUUCGGAUCGUAAAACUCUGUUAUUAGGGAAGAACAAAUGUGUAAGUAACUAUGCACGUCUUGACGGUACCUAAUCAGAAAGCCACGGCUAACUACGUG
rnacentral:rRNA from 1 species